AAUGACGGGGACCCGCACAAGCGGUGGAUGAUGUGGAUUAAUUCGAUGCAACGCGAAAACCUUACCUACCCUUGACAUGUCCGGAAUCCCGAAGAGAUUUGGGAGUGCUCGCAAGAGAGCCGGAACACAGGUGCUGCAUGGCUGUCGUCAGCUCGUGUCGUGAGAUGUUGGGUUAAGUCCCGCAACGAGCGCAACCCUUGUCAUUAGUUGCCAUCAUUUGGUUGGGCACUCUAAUGAGACUGCCGGUGACAAACCGGAGGAAGGUGGGGAUGACGUCAAGUCCUCAUGGCCCUUAUGGGUAGGGCUUCACACGUCAUACAAUGGUCGGUACAGAGGGUUGCCAACCCGCGAGGGGGAGCUAAUCCCACAAAGCCGAUCGUAGUCCGGAUCGCAGUCUGCAACUCGACUGCGUGAAGUCGGAAUCGCUAGUAAUCGUGGAUCAGCAUGUCACGGUGAAUACGUUCCCGGGUCUU
rnacentral:rRNA from 1 species